rnacentral:rRNA from 1 species
CGUAGGAUCCGAGCGUUGUCCGGAUUUACUGGGUGUAAAGGGUGCGCAGGCGGACUGGUAAGUCAGUGGUGAAAUCUCGUCGCUUAACGACGAAACUGCCUUUGAUACUAUCAGUCUUGAGUCCGGUAGAGAUCUGUGGAAUUUCGAGUGUAGCAGUGAAAUGUGUAGAUAUUCGGAAGAACACCAGUGGCGAAGGCAGCAGAUUGGGCCGGUACUGACGCUCAUGCACGAAAGCGUGGGGAUCAAACAGGAUUAGAUACCCUGGUAGUCCACGCCCUAAACGAUGUACACUUGAUGUCGGCCUGUAAGGGUCGGUGUCGGAGCUAACGCGUUAAGUGUACCACCUGGGGAGUACGCUCGCAAGGGUG